AUACUUACCUGGCAGGGGAGAUACCAUGAUCAUGAAGGUGGUUAUCCCAAGACGAGGCUCACUCAUUGCACUGCGAGUGUACUGACGCCUGUAACUUCCCCAAAUGGGGGAAACUCGACUGCAUAAUUUGUGGUGGGGGGGGACCGCAUGCGUGCUUUCCCCCA